rnacentral:rRNA from 1 species
GACGAACGCUGGCGGCGUGCCUAAUACAUGCAAGUGGGACGCAAGGGAACACACUGUGCUUGCACACCGUGUUUUCUUGAGUCGCGAACGGGUGAGUAACGCGUAGGUAACCUGCCUAUUAGCGGGGGAUAACUAUUGGAAACGAUAGCUAAUACCGCAUAAUAUUAAUUAUUGCAUGAUAAUUGAUUGAAAGAUGCAAGCGCAUCACUAGUAGAUGGACCUGCGUUGUAUUAGCUAGUUGGUAAGGUAAGAGCUUACCAAGGCGACGAUACAUAGCCGACCUGAGAGGGUGAUCGGCCACACUGGGACUGAGACACGGCCCAGACUUCUACGGGAGGCAGCAGUAGGGAAUCUUCGGCAAUGGACGAAAGUCUGACCGAGCAACGCCGCGUGAGUGAAGAAGGUUUUCGGAUCGUAAAGCUCUGUUGUAAGUCAAGAACGUGUGUGAGAGUGGAAA